CCAGCAAGUAUUGUCUACGGA
rnacentral:siRNA from 1 species